rnacentral:piRNA from 1 species
UCCAAAAGCCUCUAAAACAGGGAAACC